rnacentral:rRNA from 1 species
UACGAAGGGGACUAGCGUUGUUCGGAAUUACUGGGCGUAAAGCGCACGUAGGCGGAUUGCUAAGUCAGGGGUGAAAUCCUGGAGCUCAACUCCAGAACUGCCUUUGAUACUGGCGACCUUGAGUCCGGGAGAGGUGAGUGGAACUGCGAGUGUAGAGGUGAAAUUCGUAGAUAUUCGCAAGAACACCAGUGGCGAAGGCGGCUCACUGGCCCGGUACUGACGCUGAGGUGCGAAAGCGUGGGGAGCAAACAGG